rnacentral:rRNA from 1 species
GACGAACGCUGGCGGCGUGCUUAACACAUGCAAGUCGAACGGAAAGGCCCUGCUUUUGUGGGGUGCUCGAGUGGCGAACGGGUGAGUAACACGUGAGUAACCUGCCCUUGACUUUGGGAUAACUUCAGGAAACUGGGGCUAAUACCGGAUAGGAGCUCCUGCUGCAUGGUGGGGGUUGGAAAGUUUCGGCGGUGGUGGCUGGACUCGCGGCUUAUCGGCUUGUUGGUGGGGUAGUGGCUUACCAAGGCUUUGACGGGUAGCCGGCCUGAGAGGGUGACCGGCCACAUUGGGACUGAGAGACGGACCAGACUCCUACGGGAGGCAGCAGUGGGGAAUAUUGCACAAUGGGCGGAAGCCUGAGGCAGCAACGCCGCGUGCGGGAUGACGGCCUUCGGGUUGUAAACCGCUUUCGCCUGUGACGAAGCGUGAGUGACGGUAAUGGGUAAAGAAGCACCGGCUAACUACGUG